UACGAAGGGGGCUAGCGUUGCUCAGAAUUACUGGGCGUAAAGCGCACGUAGGCGGUCUUUUAAGUCGGGGGUGAAAUCCUGGAGCUCAACUCCAGAACUGCCUUCGAUACUGGAAGACUUGAGUCCGGGAGAGGUGAGUGGAGCUGCGAGUGUAGAGGUGAAAUUCGUAGAUAUUCGCAAGAACACCAGUGGCGAAGGCGGCUCACUGGCCCGGUACUGACGCUGAGGUGCGAAAGCGUGGGGAGCAAACAGG
rnacentral:rRNA from 1 species